AAAAAUCCAAGUUUGACUCGUAAUUAACUUUUAAUCAAUUGUUGACUUCUGGUCAAACAAUUGACCAGAGUUUAACCAAGACCCUAAUUUGAUCUAAGACCUAACUCUGUUCAGCUACAUUUUGCUUCCAUCCUUCAAUGGUAUCCAUAUUUCUUCAUGUCCAAGUAGUUUCAAUGCCUCCAUAUAUGUCAUAACUUAAUACCUUCAUGGAUCACACCAAAC
rnacentral:lncRNA from 1 species